rfam:Mus musculus chromosome 17, GRC primary reference assembly.
UAAGAGGCUUUUAUCAAAGCCACAUAAGUUUGAUUGUUAUGGAGUGU